CAACUUUCAACAACGGAUCUCUUGGUUCUGGCAUCGAUGAAGAACGCAGCGAAAUGCGAUACGUAGUGUGAAUUGCAGAAUUCAGUGAAUCAUCGAAUCUUUGAACGCACAUUGCGCCCUUUGGUAUUCCAAAGGGCAUGCCUGAUCGAGCGUCAUUU
rnacentral:rRNA from 1 species